UUAAUACAAAAGGAGAAAUGAAAUGCUGGGGAUUCUCUGGGAUUCUCUGCAGUAUACCUGCUAACCAAGUGGAAGUGUGUAUGGUGAUCUAAUGAAAAGGGUGUCAGGCGUACAGAUCUAUAGACAAUCUACAGACAAUCUACAGACAACCCAACAGAGCUCCUCCUGUGCUUUCACCUGUACACAAUGCCAGGGCCCAGCUGGACCGAAAAUGUGGGUAUUUCUGGGUUUGUGUCCACCAGGACAUGAGGGAGGAUAUACUACAGAGUUCUCAGAGCACUUUGCACACCAUCUGAGAUCAGGUGAUGACAGUGAAGACGAAUUACUCAUUAAAUACACCAGAAUGUUUCAUAAAAGAAUCAAUGAAAGUUGCACCUGAAACACUGGUGCAGUACACCAGCUAUGAUCAGGGCGUUCCGGAGGUGAUCCUAUGUUCUCAGAAGCUCUACAUGCAAAUCCCUUCAACUUUGCUCAGGGGGAUGAGCUCACCGCAGAAAUUGUCCUGGUUUUUGACCUCAAAAUCCAGGCGCAUCAUUUUGAAAAACAAAGAUGAAGACCACAAAGGGGAACAGACUCAAUUUACUGAAAAGCACCAGAUAUUUGCACAGAAGCACCUCAACAGAAAAGACAAUUCUCGUGUAGGUAUGAUCUCGGAGAAGAAAGUGGAUGGUGACUCAUGUAGCAGAAAUGAAAGCAUGGAAAAGCACAGUAAGUGCAAGCAAGCACGCCAAUGUGUCAUGACUAAAAGGCUUGGAGCAGGGAGCCACAGAGAAAACUUGGACAGACUUAGAGGAAGAAAGCAUGGAAGACAGUCAACACAUACAAAAAAAUUAAAAUAUAAUCCAUGUGUAAUGAAUCAUCAAA
rnacentral:lncRNA from 1 species